rnacentral:rRNA from 1 species
UACGUAGGGUGCAAGCGUUAAUCGGAAUUACUGGGCGUAAAGCGUGCGCAGGCGGUUAUGCAAGACAGAUGUGAAAUCCCCGGGCUCAACCUGGGAACUGCAUUUGUGACUGCAUAACUAGAGUACGGCAGAGGGGGAUGGAAUUCCGCGUGUAGCAGUGAAAUGCGUAGAUAUGCGGAGGAACACCGAUGGCGAAGGCGGCUAUCUGGACCGACAUUGACGCUGAGGCGCGAAAGCGUGGGGAGCAAACAGG